UACGAAGGGGGCUAGCGUUGCUCGGAAUCACUGGGCGUAAAGGGUGCGUAGGCGGGUCUUUUAAGUCAGGGGUGAAAUCCUGGAGCUCAACUCCAGAACUGCCUUUGAUACUGAGGAUCUUGAGUUCGGGAGAGGUGAGUGGAACUGCGAGUGUAGAGGUGAAAUUCGUAGAUAUUCGCAAGAACACCAGUGGCGAAGGCGGCUCACUGGCCCGAUACUGACGCUGAGGCACGAAAGCGUGGGGAAGCAAACAGGG
rnacentral:rRNA from 1 species